rnacentral:rRNA from 1 species
AACGAACGCUGGCGGCAUGCCUAACACAUGCAAGUCGAACGAGACCUUCGGGUCUAGUGGCGCACGGGUGCGUAACGCGUGGGAACCUGCCCUUAGGUUCGGAAUAACUCCCCGAAAGGGGUGCUAAUACCGGAUAAUGUCUUCGGACCAAAGAUUUAUCGCCUUUGGAUGGGCCCGCGUUGGAUUAGCUAGUUGGUAGGGUAAAAGCCUACCAAGGCGACGAUCCAUAGCUGGUCUGAGAGGAUGAUCAGCCACACUGGGACUGAGACACGGCCCAGACUCCUACGGGAGGUAGCAGUGGGGAAUAUUGGACAAUGGGCGAAAGCAUGAUCCAGCAAUGCCGCGUGAGUGAUGAAGGCCUUAGGGUUGUAAAGCUCUUUUACCCGGGAUGAUAAUGACAGUACCGGGAGAAUAAGCUCCGGCUAACUCCGUG